UACAAGCCCCACAGGAUAAGCUAUUUUAGCAGCGACAAAACACAGUGAAAGCAACCUGUCUUCUCUAGCAAUUCUCCAGAGUCAAUUCUCCUUCAGUUGCUGUCCUGACUGUUACCUGCAGAGGGGGUGAUCCUCUGAAUGCUGUUAUUCCUGAGAGCUCAGUCCUGCUCCUCUUACAUAUGGGGCUAGAGGAUACCAUGCAAGAUUGCCUUCAUUAUUUAAAUAUAUUGUGUUAUAACCCUG